UAGUAACUGCGAGUGAAGGCGGGAAAAGCUCAAAUUUGUAAUCUGACAGUUUUAUUGACUGUCCGAGUUGUAAACUAGAGAAGUGCUAUCCGCGCUGGACCGUGUACAAGUCUCCUGGAAUGGAGCGUCAUAGAGGGUGAGAAUCCCGUCUUUGACACGGACUGCCAGGGCUUUUGUGAUGCGCUCCGUCAAAGAGUCGAGUUGGUUGGGAAUGCAGCUCGAAAUGGGUGGUAAAUUCCAUCUAAAGCUAAAUAUUGGCGAGAGACCGAUAGCGAACAAGUACCGUGAGGGAAAGAUGAAAAGAACUUUGGAAAGAGAGUUAAACCGUACGUGAAAUUGUUUAAAGGGAAACGCUUGAAGUCAGUCGCGUCAUCCAGGGAUCAACCUUGCUGGAUCCGUUCGCAGGGUGCACUUCCUGGCUUUGACGGGUCAGCAUCAAUUUUCACCGUCGGAUAAAGGUCAGGGGAAUGUGGCAUCUUCGGAUGUG
rnacentral:rRNA from 1 species